rnacentral:rRNA from 1 species
GGCCAGAUAUGGAAGCCCGGUAACGGGUGGAGUUGACUGGUACUAAUAGGCCGAGGGCUUGUCCUCAGUUG